GGGGAUUUAGCUCAGUGGUAGAGCACUUGUCUAGCAAAAGCAAGGCCCUGGGUUCGGUCCCCAGCUCCA
rfam:Rattus norvegicus chromosome 7, whole genome shotgun sequence.